AGUGAACGCUGGCGGUAGGCCUAACACAUGCAAGUCGAACGGCAGCACAGUAAGAGCUUGCUCUUACGGGUGGCGAGUGGCGGACGGGUGAGGAAUACAUCGGAAUCUACUUUUUCGUGGGGGAUAACGUAGGGAAACUUACGCUAAUACCGCAUACGAUCUACGGGUGAAAGCAGGGGAUCUUCGGACCUUUCGCGAUUGAAUGAGCCGAUGUCGGAUUAGCUAGUUGGCGGGGUAAAGGCCCACCAAGGCGACGAUCCGUAGCUGGUCUGAGAGGAUGAUCAGCCACACUGGAACUGAGACACGGUCCAGACUCCUACGGGAGGCAGCAGUGGGGAAUAUUGGGCAAUGGGCGCAAGCCUGAUCCAGCCAUACCGCGUGGGUGAAGAAGGCCUUCGGGUUGUAAAGCCCUUUUGUUGGGAAAGAAAAGCAGCAGGUUAAUACCCCGCUGUUCUGACGGUACCCAAAGAAUAAGCACCGGCUAACUUCGUG
rnacentral:rRNA from 1 species